rnacentral:rRNA from 1 species
GAUGGACGCUAGCUACAGGCUUAACACAUGCAAGUCGAGGGGAAACGACAUCGAAAGCUUGCUUUUGAUGGGCGUCGACCGGCGCACGGGUGAGUAACGCGUAUCCAACCUGCCCACCACUUGGGGUGAACCUUGCGAAAGUAAGACUAAUACCCAAUGAUAUCUCUAGAAGACAUCUGAAGGAGACUAAAGAUUUAUCGGUGAUGGAUGGGGCUGCGUCUGAGUAGCUUGUUGGCGGGGUAACGGCCCACCAAGGCGACGAUCAGUAGGGGUUCUGAGAGGAAGGUCCCCCACAUUGGAACUGAGACACGGUCCAAACUCCUACGGGAGGCAGCAGUGAGGAAUAUUGGUCAAUGGGCGAGAGCCUGAACCAGCCAAGUAGCGUGCAGGAUGACGGCCCUAUGGGUUGUAAACUGCUUUUAUAAGGGAAUAAAGUGAGUCUCGUGAGACUUUUUGCAUGUACCUUAUGAAUAAGGACCGGCUAAUUCCGUGCCAGCCGCCGCCGUAA